rnacentral:rRNA from 1 species
UACGUAGGGUGCAAGCGUUAAUCGGAAUUACUGGGCGUAAAGCGUGCGCAGGCGGGUAUGUAAGACAGAUGUGAAAUGCCCGGGCUUAACCUGGGAACUGCAUUUGUGACUGCAUGGCUAGAGUUUGGCAGAGGGGGGUAGAAUUCCACGUGUAGCAGUGAAAUGCGUAGAUAUGUGGAGGAACACCGAUGGCGAAGGCAGCCCCCCUGGGUCAAGACUGACGCUCAUGCACGAAAGCGUGGGGAGCAAACAGG